rnacentral:rRNA from 1 species
GGGUUGUGAGGUUAAGCGACUAAGCGUACACGGUGGAUGCCCUGGCAGUCAGAGGCGAUGAAGGACGUGCUAAUCUGCGAUAAGCGUCGGUAAGGUGAUAUGAACCGUUAUAACCGGCGAUUUCCGAAUGGGGAAACCCAGUGUGAUUCGUCACACUAUCAUUAACUGAAUCCAUAGGUUAAUGAGGCGAACCGGGGGAACUGAAACAUCUAAGUACCCCGAGGAAAAGAAAUCAACCGAGAUUCCCCCAGUAGCGGCGAGCGAACGGGGAGCAGCCCAGAGCCUGAAUCAGUGUGUGUGUUAGUGGAAGCGUCUGGAAAGGCGCGCGAUACAGGGUGACAGCCCCGUACACAAAAAUGCACAUACUGUGAGCUCGAUGAGUAGGGCGGGACACGUGGUAUCCUGUCUGAAUAUGGGGGGACCAUCCUCCAAGGCUAAAUACUCCUGACUGACCGAUAGUGAACCAGUACCGUGAGGGAAAGGCGAAAAGAACCCCGGCGAGGGGAGUGAAAAAGAACCUGAAACCGUGUACGUACAAGCAGUGGGAGCACGCUUAGGCGUGUGACUGCGUACCUUUUGUAUAAUGGGUCAGCGACUUAUAUUCUGUAGCAAGGUUAACCGAAUAGGGGAGCCGAAGGGAAACCGAGUCUUAACUGGGCGUUAAGUUGCAGGGUAUAGACCCGAAACCCGGUGAUCUAGCCAUGGGCAGGUUGAAGGUUGGGUAACACUAACUGGAGGACCGAACCGACUAAUGUUGAAAAAUU